UCAUCAUCCCCACCCUGUAGUCCUGUCCCACCCCACCUGAUCUGCUAUAUAAGGAGGUCUUGCUGUUGAUCACAACAGACAUCUCAGUGUCAGCCCCACCAUGAGAUUCGCCGCCUUGCUGGUUCUGCUGUGCCUGUGCUCUCUGCCAAUGGCAAUUAAUUGUGUCUCGGAAGGAGGAAUCAUCCACAGCCUUAAAAGCUAAAGCAUAUUCCUCGAUCCCUGUUUGGCCUGCAGCAAGUGGAGGCUAUGGAUCUGGAAGAGGAAUUGGAGGAGGAAUUGGAGGAGGACUUGGACCUGGAAGAUGAUUUUUCUGAACUUCAAUAAGUCGCCCAAAAGGACCCUCCCAGACCAAUAAUUUCCACAAUAUGAGAAUUGAAAGAAUGUCCUUUAAAGUAAAAUAAAGAGAAUUGCAAUGCAAUAAAA